rnacentral:rRNA from 1 species
CUUGACAUCCAGAGAACUUUGCAGAGAUGGAUUGGUGCCUUCGGGAACUCUGAGACAGGUGCUGCAUGGCUGUCGUCAGCUCGUGUUGUGAAAUGUUGGGUUAAGUCCCGCAACGAGCGCAACCCUUAUCCUUUGUUGCCAGCGGUUCGGCCGGGAACUCAAAGGAGACUGCCAGUGAUAAACUGGAGGAAGGUGGGGAUGACGUCAAGUCAUCAUGGCCCUUACGAGUAGGGCUACACACGUGCUACAAUGGCGUAUACAAAGAGAAGCGACCUCGCGAGAGCAAGCGGACCUCAUAAAGUACGUCGUAGUCCGGAUUGGAGUCUGCAACUCGACUCCAUGAAGUCGGAAUCGCUAGUAAUCGUAGAUCAGAAUGCUACGGUGAAUACGUUCCCGGGCCUUGUACACACCGCCCGUCACACCAUGGGAGUGGGUUGCAAAAGAAGUAGGUAGCUUAACCUUCGGGAGGGCGCUUACCACUUUGUGAUUCAUGACUGGGGUGAAGUCGUAACAAGGUAACCGUAGGGGAACCUGCGGUUGGAUCACCUCCUUACCUAAAGA